rnacentral:rRNA from 1 species
GGGAGGCAGCAGUGGGGAAUUUUGGACAAUGGGCGCAAGCCUGAUCCAGCGAUGCCGCGUGAGUGAAGAAGGCCUUCGGGUUGUAAAGCUCUUUUGUCAGGGAAGAAACGGCUGAGGUUAAUACCUUUGGCUAAUGACGGUACCUGAAGAAUAAGCACCGGCUAACUACGUGCCAGCAGCCGCGGUAAUACGUAGGGUGCAAGCGUUAAUCGGAAUUACUGGGCGUAAAGCGUGCGCAGGCGGUUUUGUAAGUCUGUCGUGAAAGCCCCGGGCUCAACCUGGGAAUUGCGAUGGAGACUGCAAGGCUUGAAUCUGGCAGAGGGGGGUAGAAUUCCACGUGUAGCAGUGAAAUGCGUAGAGAUGUGGAGGAACACCGAUGGCGAAGGCAGCCCCCUGGGUCAAGAUUGACGCUCAUGCACGAAAGCGUGGGGAGCAAACAGGAUUAGAUACCCUUGUAGUCG